UACGGGGGGAGCAAGCGUUGUUCGGAUUUACUGGGCGUAAAGGGCGCGUAGGCGGCCACCGCAAGUCGGUAUGUAAAUCUCCGGGCUUAACCCGGAAAGGUCAACUGAUACUGCGGGGCUAGAGUGCAGAAGGGGCAACUGGAAUUCUCGGUGUAGCGGUGAAAUGCGUAGAUAUCGAGAGGAACACCUGCGGCGAAGGCGGGUAGCUGGGCCGACACUGACGCUGAGGCGCGAAAGCCAGGGGAGCGAACGGG
rnacentral:rRNA from 1 species